rnacentral:lncRNA from 1 species
UUGAGAGCAUGAUCUUCGAGCUCAGAAAAUGUGUUCAUAAUCACGCACUUUGGCUUUCUGUAAUAUUGGUACCUGCGCAUCCUCACUGACCACUGUAGCUUAUCAGUUGUGGAAGUUGGCAGCACGCUGAUCGGAACCGGUUGAACAAAAGAAGGUACAAUCAAUUCUUCACUCGUUUUGAACAAUUCAAUGGUAUCCUGAUUAUGAUCAUCCUGCAGGGAUUGAACAUGGAGCAUGAGACCAAAAUAUGCAGCACCAGAAGUGCAAAAGAUGUAGCUAGGAACCUGAAAUUCCUCAGCUACAUCAAUCGAAGUUGCUGUGCCAAAGUCAAGUACGAAGCCAGAGAGACCUUCGAUUUUCGAGGCAAUUUCUCUGACAUGAGGUUUCUGGAACUCUACUAGUU